AUUGAACGCUUGCGGCAAGCCUAACACAUGCAAGUCGAACGAGUGGCGGACGGGUGAGUAAUGUCUGGGAAACUGCCUGAUGGAGGGGGAUAACUACUGGAAACGGUAGCUAAUACCGCAUACCAUCGGAUGUGCCCAGAUGGGAUUAGCUCGUAGGUGGGGGAAAGGCUCACCUAGGCGACGAUCCCUAGCUGGUCUGAGAGGAUGACCAGCCACAAUGGAACUGAGACACGGGCCAGACUCCUACGGGAGGAAGCAGUGGGGAAUAUUGCACAAUGGGCGCAAGCCUGAGGCAGCCAUGCCGCGUGUAUGAAGAAGGCCUUCGGGUUGUAAAGUACUUGCAGCGGGGAGGCGUGACCCGCAGAAGAAGCACCGGCUAACUCCGUGCCAGCAGCCGCGGUAAUUC
rnacentral:rRNA from 1 species